rnacentral:rRNA from 1 species
AGUGAACGCUGGCGGUAGGCCUAACACAUGCGAGUCGAACGGCAGCACAGUAAGAGCUUGCUCUUACGGGUGGCGAGUGGCGGACGGGUGAGGAAUACAUCGGAAUCUACUUUUUCGUGGGGGAUAACGUAGGGAAGCUUACGCUAAUACCGCAUACGACCUACGGGUGAAAGCAGGGGAUCUUCGGACCUUGCGCGAUUGAAUGAGCCGAUGUCGGAUUAGCUAGUUGGCGGGGUAAAGGCCCACCAAGGCGACGAUCCGUAGCUGGUCUGAGAGGAUGAUCAGCCACACUGGAACUGAGACACGGUCCAGACUCCUACGGGAGGCAGCAGUGGGGAAUAUUGGACAAUGGGCGCAGGCCUGAUCCAGCCAUACCGCGUGGGUGAAGAAGGCCUUCGGGUUGUAAAGCCCUUUUGUUGGGAAAGAAAAGCAGCAGGUUAAUACCCCGCUGUUCUGACGGUACCCAAAGAAUAAGCACCGGCUAACUUCGUG